rnacentral:sRNA from 1 species
AACACCAAAAGUUAACUUUUAUCGCCACGUCAUGCUCCUAAUUGACAACAAUGG